rnacentral:lncRNA from 1 species
GGCCAAGGUAGUUUUUGAUGAAGUUGAAGUCCAAUAAACUUGAAACUUAGUACACAUGCUCCCUGUGUUAUGAUCUUUAUAAUUUUAAUGCCAAAUUAAAGUAUUGACCCCAAUUUCACGGUCCACUGAACAUGUAAAAUGAUAGUGCGAGUAGGGCAUCCGUGUACUAUGGACACAUCCUUGUUUUACUUUGAAUUUGACUUUGUC